rnacentral:rRNA from 1 species
GUCCACGCUGUAAACGAUGUCAACUAGCCGUCGGGGGUCUUAGUGCCCUUGGUGGCGUAGCUAACGCGAUAAGUUGACCGCCUGGGGAGUACGGUCGCAAGAUUAAAACUCAAAUGAAUUGACGGGGGCCCGCACAAGCGGUGGAGCAUGUGGUUUAAUUCGACGCAACGCGAAGAACCUUACCAGGUCUUGACAUCCAGAGAAGUCGCUAGAGAUAGCUUCGUGCCUUCGGGAACUCUGAGACAGGUGCUGCAUGGCUGUCGU